rnacentral:hammerhead_ribozyme from 1 species
AUCGAGCUGACAAAUCCUAAAUAGGACGAAACGCGCGUCCUGGAU